AGAUUGAACGCUGGCGGCAUGCCUUACACAUGCAAGUCGAGCGGCAGCGCGGGGGCAACCCUGGCGGCGAGCGGCGAACGGGUGAGUAAUACAUCGGAACGUGUCCUUUUGUGGGGGAUAACCAGUCGAAAGACUGGCUAAUACCGCAUGAGAUCGCAAGAUGAAAGCAGGGGACCGCAAGGCCCUGCGCGAGAGGAGCGGCCGAUGUCGGAUUAGCUAGUUGGUGGGGUAACGGCCUACCAAGGCAACGAUCCGUAGCUGGUCUGAGAGGACGACCAGCCACACUGGGACUGAGACACGGCCCAGACUCCUACGGGAGGCAGCAGUGGGGAAUUUUGGACAAUGGGCGCAAGCCUGAUCCAGCCAUGCCGCGUGUGUGAAGAAGGCCUUCGGUUGUAAGACACUUCGUACGAACGAAAUACGCGCGAGUAAGUAGUUACGUCGUGAGUGACGGUAACCGUAACGAAAGAAGACGAACCGGACGUAACGUACGUACGCCGACGCGACG
rnacentral:rRNA from 1 species